CCGCUCAGUGCGCAUGCUAGACUGCAGUCGCACGGUGUAGCAAUACACAGUGGCGAACGGGUGAGUAAUGAAUCGCUAAUGUACCCCGGACUCUGGGAUAGCCAGUCGAAAGAUUGGGUAAUACCAGAUGACAUAUUCCUACCGCAUGGUCGGGAAUCUCAAAGGUCCGCCGGUCUGGGAGCAGGCGAUUUCGUAUCAGCUAGUUGGUGAGGUAACGGCUCACCAAGGCGACGACGCGUAGCCGGACUGAGAGGUUGGCCGGCCACAUCGGGACUGAGACACUGCCCGGACUCCUACGGGGGGCUGCAGUAACGAAUCUUCCCCAAUGCACGAAAGUGUGAGGGAGCGACGCCGCGUGUGGGACGAAGUCCUUCGGGAUGUAAACCACUGUCAGGGGAUACCAAGUUCUGAGGAUCCCCAGAGGAAGAGGCGGCUAACUCUGUGCCAGCAGCCGCGGUAAGACAGAGGCCUCAAGCGUUAGGCGGAAUCACUGGGCUUAAAGCGUGUGUAGGCGGGUCGUUAAGUACCUUGUGAAAUCCCACGGCUCACCCGUGGAACUGCUGGGUAUACUGGCGAUCUUGGGCCAUUCAGGGGCAACUGGAACAAGCGGUGGAGCGGUGAAAUGCGUAGAUAUCGCUUGGAACGCCAAAGGUGAAAACAGGUUGCUGGGAAUGUGCCGACGCUGAGACACGAAAGCCAGGGGAGCAAACGGGAUUAGAUACCCCGGUAGUCCUGGCCCUAAACGAUGUCUACUAGAUUGCGGCGGGUUUGACCCCGUCGCGGUCGAAGCAAAAGUGUUAAGUGGACCGCCUGGGAAGUACGGUCGCAAGGCUAAAACUCAAAGGAAUUGACGGGGGCUCACACAAGCGGUGGAGCAUGUGGUUCAAUUCGAAGCAACGCGCAGAACCUUACCUGGGUUUGACAUGACUGGAUUAUCUCGAUGAAAGUCGAGUAGGCCCCGCAAGGGGUACAACAGUUACAGGUGCUGCAUGGCUGUCGUCAGCU
rnacentral:rRNA from 1 species